rnacentral:rRNA from 1 species
GAAUCCCACAGGCCGUAAACCCAAGGUUUCCAGGGGAAGGUUCGUCCGCCCUGGGUUAGUCGGGCCCUAAGCUGAGGCCGAAAGGCGUAGGUGAUGGACAACAGGUUGAUAUUCCUGUACUACCGAUAACCGGUUGAGAGAAGGGAUGACACAGUAGGAUAAGCUAAGCACCCUGUUGGUUAUGUGUGCCCAAGCAUUGGUCACUUAUAC